rnacentral:lncRNA from 1 species
AACCGAAAAAGAUGGGCCACAUAAAGCCAGACUUGAUUGACGUUGACUUAAUCAGAGGGUCAACAUUUGCCAAAGCAAAACCUGAAAUUCCAUGGACAUCUCUGACUCGGAAGGGGCUUGUUCGAGUUGUAUUUUUUCCAUUGUUCAGCAAUUGGUGGAUUCAGGUUACCUCUUUAAGAAUCUUUGUUUGGCUGUUACUACUUUAUUUCAUGCAAGAUAACAAGACCAUCAGGAAACAAUGGAAAUCGAAGAAGAAGAGUUUCGCUCUUGUUGCCCAGGCUGGAGUGCAAUGGCGCAAUCUCGGCUCACUGCAACCGAUACCUCCUGAGUUCAAGCGAUUCUCCUGCCUCAGCCUCUCAAGUAGCUGGGAUUACCUGCGUAUGCCACCACACCCAGCUAAUUUUUUUUUUUGAAUUUAGUAGAGAUGGGAUUUCACCAUGUUAAUCAGGCUGAUCUAGAACUCCUGACCUCAGGUGAUCCACCCGCCUCGGUCUCCCAAAGGACUGGGAUUACAGGCGUGAGCCACUGCACCCAGCCGUCUAAACUUUUA